rnacentral:rRNA from 1 species
UACGAAGGGGGCGAGCGUUGUUCGGAUUUACUGGGCGUAAAGGGCGCGCAGGCGGCUAUCUUUGUCAGGCGUGAAAGCCCCGGGCUUAACCUGGGAACUGCGUCCGAUACUGGAUGGCUUGAAUCCGGGAGAGGGAUGCGGAAUUCCAGGUGUAGCGGUGAAAUGCGUAGAUAUCUGGAGGAACACCGGUGGCGAAGGCGGCAUCCUGGACCGGCAUUGACGCUGAGGCGCGAAAGCCAGGGGAGCAAACAGG